AACGAACGCUGGCGGCAUGCCUAACACAUGCAAGUCGAACGAGACCUUCGGGUCUAUUGGCGCACGGGUGCGUAACGCGUGGGAACCUGCCCUUAGGUUCGGACUAACUCCCCGAAAGGGGUGCUAAUACCGGAUAAUGUCUUCGGACCAAAGAUUUAUCGCCUUUGGAGGGGCCCGCGUUGGAUUAGCUAGUUGGUAGGGUAAAAGCCUACCAAGGCGAGGAUCCAUAGCUGGUCUGAGAGGAUGGUCAGCCACACCGGGACUGAGAAGCGGCCCAGACUCUUACGCGAGGCAGCAGUGGGGAAUAUUGGACAAUGGGCGAAAUCCUGAUCCAGCAAUGCCGCGUGAGUGAUGAAGGCCUUAGGGUUGUAAAGCUCUUUUACCCGGGAUGAUAAUGACAGUACCGGGAGAAUAAGCUCCGGCUAACUCCGUG
rnacentral:rRNA from 1 species